UAUAAUUAUUAUAAUUAUUAUUAUUAUUAUUUUUUUUUAUUAUUAUUUUUUAUUAAUAUUAUCUAACGCCAGACAAUUAAUUACUCAUCAGUGGUAGAGUACUGCCAGUAAAUGGGUUAAAAUGUUAAAUAUGAAUUAAGUUGAAAUCGGUUGUAAUAACCAAGUGAUUCAUUAACCUAUUAAGUUGCAAGACUCUCCUUGAUGAGCAAAAUCAUCUAGCGUUAGAAAGAGUAAAAAUUCAUUGUGUUAUCUGCUGCUGUUGGAAGAUCCUUUUCCUUCAACAUUUUACUAAAGAUUUACUGUGUCAUCUGCUGCUGUUGGAAGUUCCUUUUCCUUGAACAUUUUACUAAAGAUUUGCUGUGUCAUCUGCUGCUGUUGGAAAUUUCUUUUCCUUGAACAUUUUACUAAAAAAUUACUGUAUUAUUGUACAUAAUUUCUAGGGAAAAUAUAAGAAAAAUUCAAAUGUUGUAUUUCCAAAAAUAUGCACUCAGACUUUGAAAUUUUAAGUUUGUGGACCAAGGGGGAGGGACAGCUUAACCAAGGCAUACAAAAAUUAGAUGUACCGGGCGGCAACAUUUUCUGAGAGGGGGGGUCCCCCGGCUCUGGCUAGGUUACUGUACAGUAUUCUCUAAAGCAAUAAAAUAUUAUUAAUAUUUCUAACUAAUAAUUAUUACUAAUUAUUAGUAAAUAUUUAUUAUUUAUGUUGCUCGAAUUAGUCAAUUAGCCAAGCCAGACUACAAGAUUCAAAUGCUAAUGGGCCAAUUGCACAAGGCAGAUUAAA